AGCUGAUGUACCGUUAAAAUGAAGGUGGUAAUAAAGUUUACAAAACUUGCUCUGGCUGAAUUUUUCAAUGAAAAAACAAUAUGUGUGCCAUGAAUGUAAUCUGUUUUUCAUGGCGUAUCAAUGAAAGUUUGGUGUAUUGGCCAAAUCAAUUGCAAGCAUCUUGCCUUCAAGCUGCCAAACAUAAAGUCACGCUUUUAAAAGUAACUGAAAGCAGCUGAAAAUAAGAAUUUUUUGAUGAACUUUCUUACUUCAGUUGGAGGAGAUGAGAAACAACUUACAGCGACAAUCUUAAUACAGUUAAUGGCCAAAGAAGUAUGUUUUUCAUACUCAGUGUAUGGAAGGAACCAAAAACGUCCUGCAAGGUCGUUAUAGAUUUGCGUUUAGUCAUUUAUCGUUGUAUUCGUUUCUUUCGAAAUUGCUACUGAUAAAAGUAUUAAAGAAAAAAUUGGCAGCUUUCUGGCGACGGCCCAUAAUAGAGAUUACGGAAGAAAAAUAGAACCGUAACUGAGCAACGCCCAGUAUUGAGCAAUGAAAUAAGUAUCGCCAAAAUAAUGAAAGUCGAUGCCCACUAUCUCAUAGUGAGAGUA